GUCAGAUGACAAAACAAGGCCCCUAACUAUUUUACUAUUCACUUUUGGUCGAACUGAACACAAAGCCACCAGUUAAGAGGAUGGGUUCAUCAAAGACAUCAGAGGGAGGCACUUUCCAUUCAGAGGAUUUUAAGGGCCGAUCCUCAUUCACUUAAUGUUUUGUUAAUUCAAAAAUGAAAAUCAGUGAGCUGCAUCAGGACCCUUCUGCACAUCCUCCCAGAUCCAGGGGAGCUCCUGGCAAUAGACUGAGGGCCUGCCCCAACAGUGGCAUCAUAAAAUUAUUGGACAUCAGCCUGCUCUGCGAAGUUGUACUGAAGUUUCCAGAGGUUGAAGUUUACAGACUGGUGUACACUAAAUGCAUUUCAGAUGAGGUUCUUGAAACCCCAACAGGUAAAAUAGCUUUCUCAGGGUGGCAGAGAGUACCAAGGACCACCAAGGGUCUUUCUCUGUCACCCAGGCUGGAGUUCAGUGGCACCAUCGGAGCUCACUGCAGCCUCAACCUACCAGGCUCAAGCAAUCCUCCUGCCUCAGCCUCCUGAAUAGCUGGGACUACAGGUAAACGCCACCACACCUGGCUCAUUUUUUAUUUUGUGUAGAGACAGGGUCUUACUAUGUUACUAGGCUGGUCUCAAACUCCUAAGCUCAAGCGAUCCGCCUGCCUUGGCCUCCCAAAGUGCUGG
rnacentral:lncRNA from 1 species